CCUCAUUGCUUCAGCAACCCAAACAGAUCCUUUUCAAAUGUUGGAAGUUUGAGAUGUCUGGCCACCAAGAAUUUACCAAAAACAGCAACUAUUCUGCUUUCUUGUAAUAACACUGCUCCACUAUAGACAAAUGUUUUGCAUUACAUGACAAAAUUCUGAGAAAAUUCAGGAUGUGCUAGGACCGGUGUUGCAGCCAUGGCAGUCUUUAAUGUUUCAAAUGCUACUGGAGCAUCAGGAAUCCAAGUACGGAAUUUUUUCGAAGCAUUAUAGCCAACCUUUCUGCAAUAGUCAAUAGUCUUUCAAAAAUUUUCUGUAAUACAUGGUCAGUCAAGAAGUGGUUGAAGGCUUCUAACGUUGUAGGUUUCAACCAUUUUAACAUUAAGAAUUACGUUAAAAGCUAACUGCCAAGUAAAAUGUCGAAAUGGACAUUUCUAAAAUUUAUUUCUUACCUCAAGUAGGGAACAUGAAAGAGAGCCCUAAGUCUCUAGAGAAUACUCUAUUUUUUAUGCUAAUUGUCAAAUGCUUUAUUAAUAUCUGCAAAAGAUAUUUAUGGGAAAACUACAGAAAAUAGGAUCCAACCAUUCCUGAUACGAGCCUA
rnacentral:lncRNA from 1 species